AAGCGCUUUGCUAGCCGGUCAUUUAAUUCAUCUCAUAAAUACAUAUAGAAAACACAAAACUGGCGGGAGCCGCUCCUGUGGACGACGACGGUGACUGGAUAUGGAACCUUCAAAUUAUAAACGGUUCAUCUCUCCAUCUCUCCUUGAUGUUCGCUUGCAAAGCCAGUGUCAAAUCUAGGUUUUCACAUCACUGACCAAGCACAAGAGGCCAUGGAUGGGCCAGUAGAUGGCACCAAGCUCAUUCGGAGACUCAAGCCAGAGCUACUGGAAGCUCUGACGGGAGAUCCAGACUUUCUGCUUCAGCAUUGCCAUGCCAGUGGCAUACUGUCCAACAAUGAGUACAACAACAUCAAAGACAUGAACAUGCGUUCAAGGCAGGUACGGGACAUCUUGGAUUAUGUGAUUCACAAAGACAACAAGCAUGCUCUGAAUUUCCUGAAGCUGCUGAAAACACAAGACAUGCAAGAGACAUUUCCUAAACUACAGUUCCUCCAAAAGCUGCAAAUCAACAAACGCAAGACACCAAAAAACACAGAGAAGACAGCAAAAAGACGGCAGGAGAUGUUGGAAAACAAUGUACGGCAGGAGCAGCAGCGUAUCAUCAGCACCAGGAUGAUGAGCGAGAGGGAGAUGAUGAUGGUAGCCGGCUGCAUUGGGAACAGCUGGAGGGAGGUGGGCAUUAUGGCACUGGGUAUGAACACCACCACUCUGCAGCAGAUAGAGGAGGACAACAGCCAACACAAAAUGCGGGUUUUCACCAUGCUGCGAAAAUGGAGCAUACGUGAGAGGGAACAAGCCACGGCAGCUCGUCUCCAUUCCCUACUAACCCAAGAGGAGAGCGGCAUAGACACUCUGAAAAUCAACUUCCUGUUGGAAAACAACUGAGGCUGCUAGGAGGACUUCAAUAGGGUGAUGCAGAUGUGAUGUCAAAACCUUCUCUAUGGGUUUUUAAUCAUGGAGUUUUUAAAACUGUGAUAAGGAAGACUGAUGUUUAUGACGGAAGUUCCAAUAGAGACUGCUAUCUGGCAACAUAACGGCGACCUUCGCUCUCUCGGCAAGUAUCACGUUGUUUCACCCUGAUGCAUUUUCACCCUGGUGUUUCACCCUUGUUCACCCUUGUUUUGCAUGCCAAGCAGGUGAUAGGAUUGGAGGCGGAGCUUUGUACAAUUCCAUUGCACAGGCCUGUCAUUAAACAGUGUCUAGUCUUGCCAGAUUUCAUGGAAUCUUUUGCUUUGGGUUUAUUGCAAUCUGAUGUGGGAACAGUCAUUUCAAAUUGUUGUUAUGUUACUCUGUUUUUGUAACUUUUCUAUACUUCUUAAUCAUAUAUCUGUU